CAGUAGCCGCGGGAAUACGAAGGGGGCUAGCGUUAAUCGGAGUUACUGGGCGUAAAGGGCGCGUAGGCGGUUAUAUAAGUGAGAUGUGAGAUCCCUGGGCUUAACCUAGGAACUGCAUCUUAUACUGUAUGGCUAGAGUAUUGUAGAGGGUAGUGGAAUUUCCGGUGUAGCGGUGAAAUGCGUAGAGAUCGGAAGGAACACCAGUGGCGAAGGCGGCUACCUGGACAAAUACUGACGCUGAGGCGCGAAAGCGUGGGGAGCAAACAGGAUUAGAUACCCGAGUAGUCCCUGUCUCUUAUAC
rnacentral:rRNA from 1 species